CUGACCUCGGAUCAGACGUGAUUACCCGCUGAACUUAAGCAUAUCAAUAAGCGGAGGAA
rnacentral:rRNA from 2 species